ensembl:lncRNA
GACGGAGCAGGUGUAAUGACGGAGCAGGUGUAAUGAUAGAGCAGGUGAAAUGAUGGAGCAGGUGUAAUGAUGGAGCAGGUGUGUGUAAUGAUGGAGCAGGUGUGUGUAAUGAUGGAGCAGGUGUGUGUAAUGAUGGAGCAGGUGUAAUGAGAAGUUACAGCCCCUCUCCUACCCACUAAGAGUUAGAGCCCCCUCUCCUACACACUAAGAGUUACAGCCCCCUCUCCUACCCACUAAGAGUUACAGCCCCCUCUCCUACCCACUAAGAGUUAGAGCCCCCUCUCCUACACACUAAGAGUUAGAGCCGCCUCUCCUACCCACUAAGAGUUAGAGCCCCCUCUCCUACCCACUAGGAGUUAGAGCCCCCUCUCCUACCCACUAGGAGUUAGAGCCCCCUCUCCUACCCACUAGGAGUUACAGCCCCCUCUCCUACCCACUACUAACCUAAUCUCAAC